GAGGCCCCGCGUGGGCUUUGCAGCCGGAGCGGCACGAGCGGGGGCCACGCGUGCAGGGCAGGAUUUCGGCAGGGCCACGCUCGCCGUGCCGCAGCCUUUCCCUCUCCCAGCACUCCGAAAAAGUGUUUAUUUUGGUAGCGUGCACGAAGUUCCAGCUAUUCUAAAAAGCCGAGAUUUCGCAGCUAAGCUUUCCUGUUCCCAGCAGAGAAGGAGGAUGGAAGGUGUGCACUGUCCCACCUUGCAGAACAAGCUGCCCAGCCAACUCUCAAGGACCUGUGACAUGAUUCCCUGGGGCUCUACUAUACCGAGCAUCAGGGGUACCCUCAGGAGCUCCUCAUAGGACCCAACACCAUUCUCCAGCUCUGAAUCAGCCUUUGGGACUGUGUGCAGGGUGGUGACCAGUGGCUCUCAGGCCCAGCUGCCUCCCCUCGCCUCUUGGAUACAUCUUCAACAUGGUACUGUGUGCAGGAGAUAGAGCUGGUUUAUGUACUUGCUCUCUUCCAUUGCUCUGGUAUUUAAUCAGCUUUUCUUUGUAUAGUACAAACUCCUUUUGCUCCAGAAAGCUUUUUUUUUUUUUUUUUUUUUUUAAUUGGAUCAUAUAAGUGUGAGAUGAAAAACUUGCAUCACUGCAUAAAACUGCUGUGGGUGAUCCCAUAAGCUCUCAGAUAAGACGCAAUGAAGGCUACAGCGUGGACACCCAAGAGGAGAUGGGGGAAGCACUGCAGCUGUGAGCCCUUGGCUUUCUUGGGCUCCUGAGCAUCCUCAGGCAGAUGUAAUGUUUAAUCUGUGUGCUCUCAUAUUUCACACAGCAUGAUCUGCUGCUGCAUGGGAUAAGGAUGCCCUUGCUCCUUCCGACUUUUGCUAAUUAAGGUUUUCCCUUCAGCCAACAUGCCCUUCAGGAAGGGUAUUUUAAUUCUUCCAGCAGGCUUGAGUAAAUGGAUGCUCCUCUGGCAACCUGUCCAGCCUGUCCCUUGCGUUGUCCCAUCUUACUGAUGUGAUGCAUAGGCGCUACCUUCCUGGAGACCUUUUUUUUUUUCCCUCCAAUAUAUUGAAUAAUUUCUCCAUCAGGAAGGAAAGUAACUUGCAAUAAUGAACCAUCAGCGGGUAUUUAAGAUUGCUUUAAUGGGUCGCAUUGAUGGAAUCUACGCUUUUUGCUGGAAAGAUCACACUUGGCCGUAACCUUAAUUCAUGUUUAUGUCAGAAGAAAAUAUGCAGUGGAGAUGGCUCAGAAACAGCUUUUCUCUGCUCAGCAGCCAGAUACAAAUGUGCAGAGCUUCUAAAAUUGUGCUGAGUUUUGGAAAAAAAAUUAAACGUAAAUAAAAAACAGAUGUCCAGGAUGGUUCUCUCUUGCAUAGAGAAGUUCCUUAAAACUGGUUUCUGUCCUAAGAUGUAACCCAAGAAGGUGUGUGUCCAGGGGCCCAGAACUGUGCAGAGGUAAGUGUCCCUAAUGUUGCUUUUAGGAGCAUCUUUAUCAUAACCCUUAUAGUCCAUCCCUGGAAGCAUUCAAGUCCAACCUGUAUACAGCCCUGCUGCUUGAUCUAGUUGUUGGCAAGCCUGUCCGCAGCAGGAGGUUGGAACUCAAUGAUCUUUGAAGUCCAUUCUGUGAUAUGCACCUUUUCUCAGUGCUCUCCUCUGUGUGUGGCUGGAAGUAGUGCGUAGGCAGGAGAUGCCCAUAGGAAGUUUGGCUGGUUUGAACACAGCCGAAGGAAAGAGGCUGACUGUAGAUACGUGAAUAAAAGCAACAGAGUUAAAUAUAAUCAGUAAGGUUUGACCUUCCAACCCCUUCCUUGUGCCCAUUAUUCCAUGUUGGACGGACCUCUCUGAAGGCCAAGAGCUGUCCCAGGCUGGGCUAGCAGUGGCAUUUAGGUUUUCUGCAGAGAAAAGAGAUGAGAAUAAUGUCUGAAACCAUUCCUCUUGGUCAGGAUGAGCUGCUCUGUCUUGCAGAAGAUGAGAUAAAGUUGCAGGUUCGCUCGGUUGAGAUAGAUGAGGGUGCAAGGGAAGGCAAUGAAAAUAAUAAAAAUUAUUGGAGCUGUCUCUGCAAGCUUGGUGGAAGGGACAGCCAUGACUAAUGCUGCGUGAAUGAUUUGCAGAAAAUGAUUUCUUCGACAAACUUUGCCUUAAUGGAGGUAAACUGUCAAAGGCCACAACGCAAGUUUUCUGAUGUGUUCAUGAGUCAGAACUAUUUAAUGAGGAAACGGAGCUCCUGUCCCUGAGGCCUUGCAGCGGGUUCCCCUGGGGCCGCAGUGCUCCUCUGCAAGAGAGAUUCAAGGGCUGCUCCCAGCAAGGAGAGCUUGUUCCUCAGGUCACCCUGUGCUGCUCCAGAUAAUGCUGGGAUGCUUAAUUUCAGGCUUUCCUGGGGAGUAGAUAUACAAUACUGUGAUACGUGAAACCUGAAAGCAAAAGAGACUCGGUAGUCUGAAUGUGCACAUGCUGGUGCUCCUGUAAAUACUUCUGGUGGGCUAUGUCUGUGCUCAUGUUGUAUCUCCUUUUCUGAUGUGCAGUCUCCCUCCUCAUUCUUUCCUUAUCACUGUGAUGAGUGAAUGGGUUUUUGUUUCUGGAAGUCUCUUUAAGACUUUAAUUAAAUCAGGAGAAUGUUCUCCAUGAUGGUUCCCUGCUGCUUAUCAAGGUUCUUAAGGCCUUGAUUCAUUACUCUGUAUUAUUUCUCUAGCCUGAAAUAAGCUUUAAAGACCUGUUAUAGGGAGAGAUUAAAGUUAUGACAUAAACAAACUCAUAUGCGUGUUGUUUUCACACAGACGAUGCUUUUAGUAUUAUAUUUAACAUUCCAAAAAGACCUAUUGCUUAUAGAGAGCUUUUCUGACUGGAUGCCUUUGAAAGGUUAGGUACCGACCCCGUUUGAUCUUGCACUAUUUGGAUCUUUUUGUUCACAUUCUGUGGCUCUCUGACAGUCUGGGCUGCCCCAGAGCCCCCCUCCAUACCCCUGUGUGGCAACAGUGCUGUUCUGUGAUGCUGUUGCAGUGACAACUGGAGCCCUUCUGGAGUAUGCAUCAAUGCAGCAGGUGGCUGCUGCUCUGGUGUGUGUGAAGUUCUUCUAAUGUGGCUUCUCUCCUGCUUCUAUAAAGGUUAUACAAGUAAAUAAUCCUGCUCUAGCACAGCAUCCUCCCAGUGCCUGCAUGGCCGCAUGGGUAACUCUUGCCAAGGCUGACUUGUGCUGAUUAAUAUACUACAGAGUGAAAUAAUUUCUUUUCUUUUUUUUUCUUUUUUUUUUUUUAAAGGGAGCAGAGAUGUAAAGCUUAGAAUGUGCCUUAGAGAAGCUUGCUCCCUUUAUGUUCCCUGUGCUGAAGGCUGAUUAGCUUUUGUUUCUUUCUCCAGCCUUAAUUGGGGGAACCGCUGUGCUCGUUUCCCUCCUGCCCUUCUACACUGCUCCCCAGCAGUGUCAGAUCAGCCAACAGCCACAUGCUUUGGGAGGUGACCUCACUCUGCUGCAGGGAAGCACACAGCAUCCCCAGGGUCAGGUGAGCAAUGCCCAACCUCCCUUUGCACCCUGGGCAGGCUGCAAUGGCACCAGGUUUGGAGAAGGAACACCUCUGGCCAUGCACAGGAGGGGCAUCCAUUCCCCCCUCCCUUCCUGGCAGUUGCGCUGUGCUGGAUUAAUAUUUAUGCUGGUCAUGUCUCUGUAAUGGGCCUUUUAGCACUCUUCUAGAGCAAUGUAUUAGGUAGGACCUUGGGUUGUGGCCAAGGAGUGGGAGAGCACUGGGAAGUGGCUAGAUGCUGCCCAGCGUUUCUCUGAACAGCAUGGCGGGGUACCAAGUGCACCUGCCGGGUAUCCCAUGUCCCGAGAACACAGCAAAGGGCCACCUCUGUGGUGCUAGACAUGGUUGGCUGCCUACCACAGCCAGUGCCUUCUGCUGACAGCACAGUGUCAGGCAGGUACCAUUCUAUAAGAGCAGGGAGAGUGAAGUUCUGAGAUUCAGAAAGCUCGGGCUCAGGAGAGGAAGUGUUCUGCCCCUGGAUGGAUGCUGCUCCCCACCCAGGGAUGCUGCAAAAUAAAUUCCCUUGUGAAGAAGGGAGAAGCCUCUAAUCUUCCUGCUCCCUAGAUUUAGUUGUGCCAUUAGCUGGACCCUGCACAUAAA